rnacentral:rRNA from 1 species
UACGGAGGAUCCAAGCGUUAUCCGGAUUCAUUGGGUUUAAAGGGCGCGUAGGCGGCCAGCACAAGUCAGUUGUGAAAUCUCCGAGCUUAACUCGGAAAGGUCAACUGAUACUGUGCGGCUAGAGUGCAGAAGGGGCAACUGGAAUUCUUGGUGUAGCGGUGAAAUGCGUAGAUAUCAAGAGGAACACCUGCGGCGAAGGCGGGUUGCUGGGCUGACACUGACGCUGAGGCGCGAAAGCUAGGGGAACGAACGGG